rnacentral:rRNA from 1 species
UACGAAGGGGGCUAGCGUUGCUCGGAAUCACUGGGCGUAAAGCACACGUAGGCGGGUCCUUAAGUCGGGGGUGAAAUCCCGGAGCUCAACUCCGGAACUGCCUUCGAUACUGGGGACCUCGAGUCCGGGAGAGGUGAGUGGAACUGCGAGUGUAGAGGUGAAAUUCGUAGAUAUUCGCAAGAACACCAGUGGCGAAGGCGGCUCACUGGCCCGGUACUGACGCUGAGGUGCGAAAGCGUGGGGAGCAAACAGG